rnacentral:rRNA from 1 species
GACGUAGGGCGCGAGCGUUGUCCGGAUUUAUUGGGCGUAAAGGGCUCGUAGGCGGUCUGUCACGUCGGGGAGUGAAAACUCAGGGCUUAACCCUGAGCCUGCUUCCGAUACGGGCAGACUAGAGGUAUGCAGGGGAGAACGGAAUUCCUGGUGUAGCGGUGAAAUGCGCAGAUAUCAGUGGAGAACCGUGGCGAAGGCGGCUCUGG